rnacentral:rRNA from 1 species
UACGGAGGGGGCUAGCGUUGUUCGGAAUUACUGGGCGUAAAGCGCGCGUAGGCGGCUUUGUAAGUUAGAGGUGAAAGCCCGGAGCUCAACUCCGGAACUGCCUUUAAAACUGCAUCGCUUGAAUCCAGGAGAGGUGAGUGGAAUUCCGAGUGUAGAGGUGAAAUUCGUAGAUAUUCGGAAGAACACCAGUGGCGAAGGCGACUUACUGGACACAUAUUGACGCUGAGGUGCGAAAGCGUGGGGAGCAAACAGG